ACGCUCGACACCUACGGGAGGUAGCAGUGGGGAAUAUUGCACAAUGGGGGAAACCCUGAUGCAGCGACGCCGCGUGAGCGAAGAAGUAUUUCGGUAUGUAAAGCUCUAUCAGCAGGGAAGAAACUGACGGUACCUGACUAAGAAGCACCGGCUAAAUACGUGCCAGUAGCCGCGGUAAUCUGAGCGGGCUGGCAAGGC
rnacentral:rRNA from 1 species